UUUAAUUGAAGAGUUUGAUCAUGGCUCAGAUUGAACGCUGGCGGCAGGCCUAACACAUGCAAGUCGGGCGGUAACAGGGAGAAGCUUGCUUCUC
rnacentral:rRNA from 1 species